CCUCGGGGGGCAGCAGUGGGGAAUAUUGGACAAUGGGCGAAAGCCUGAUCCAGCCAUGCCGCGUGUGUGAAGAAGGCCUUCGGGUUGUAAAGCACUUUCAGUGGGGAAGAAAGCCUUGGGGCUAAUACCCUCGAGGAAGGACAUCACCCACAGAAGAAGCACCGGCUAACUCCGUGCCAGCAGCCGCGGUAAUACGGAGGGUGCGAGCGUUAAUCGGAAUUACUGGGCGUAAAGCGCGCGUAGGCGGUCUGAUAAGCCGGUUGUGAAAGCCCCGGGCUCAACCUGGGAACGGCAUCCGGAACUGUCAGGCUAGAGGGCAGGAGAGGAAGGUAGAAUUCCCGGUGUAGCGGUGAAAUGCGUAGAGAUCGGGAGGAAUACCAGUGGCGAAGGCGGCCUUCUGGACUGACACUGACGCUGAGGUGCGAAAGCGUGGGUAGCAAACAGGAUUAGAUACCCUUGUAGUC
rnacentral:rRNA from 1 species